rnacentral:rRNA from 1 species
AUACGUAGGGAGCGAGCGUUGUCCGGAAUUACUGGGCGUAAAGGGUGCGUAGGCGGCGAAGCAAGUCAGAUGUGAAAUCCCCGGGCUUAACUCGGGGGGUGCAUUUGAAACUGCAUUGCUUGAGUGCAGGAGAGGAAAGCGGAAUUCCUAGUGUAGCGGUGAAAUGCGUAGAUAUUAGGAAGAACACCAGUGGCGAAGGCGGCUUUCUGGACUGUAACUGACGCUGAGGCACGAAAGCGUGGGGAGCAAACAGGAUUAGAUACCCUGGUAGUCCACGCUGUAAACGAUGGAUACUAGGUGUGGGGGACAUACAACCUCUGUGCCGGAGCAAACGCAAUAAGUAUCCCGCCUGGGGAGUACGGCCGCAAGGCUGAA